AUUGAACGCUGGCGGCAGGCUUAACACAUGCAAGUCGAGCGAGCGGCGGACGGGUGAGUAAUGUCUGGGAACCUGCCUGAUGGAGGGGGAUAACGACUGGAAACGGUAGCUAAUACCGCAUACCAUCAGAUGUGCCCAGAGGGGAUUAGCUAGUGGGUGGGGUAAUGGCUCACCUAGGCGACGAUCCCUAGCUGGUCUGAGAGGAUGACCAGCCACACUGGAACUGAGACACGGUCCAGACUCCUACGGGAGGCAGCAGUGGGGAAUAUUUCACAAUGGGCGAAAGCCUGAUACAGCCAUGCCGCGUGUGUGAAGAAGGCCUUCGGGUUGUAAAGCUCUUUCAGCGAGGAGGCGUUACUCGCAGAAGAAGCACCGGCUAACUCCGUGCCAGCAGCCGCGGUAAUAC
rnacentral:rRNA from 1 species